rnacentral:rRNA from 1 species
AGUGAACGCUGGCGGUAGGCCUAACACAUGCAAGUCGAACGGCAGCACAGUAAGAGCUUGCUCUUACGGGUGGCGAGUGGCGGACGGGUGAGGAAUACAUCGGAAUCUACUUUUUCGUGGGGGAUAACGUAGGGAAACUUACGCUAAUACCGCAUACGACCUACGGGUGAAAGCAGGGGAUCUUCGGACCUUGCGCGAUUGAAUGAGCCGAUGUCGGAUUAGCUAGUUGGCGGGGUAAAGGCCCACCAAGGCGACGAUCCGUAGCUGGUCUGAGAGGAUGAACAGCCACACUGGAACUGAGACACGGUCCAGACUCCUACGGGAGGCAGCAGUGGGGAAAUUUGGACAAUGGGCGCAAGCCUGAUCCAGCCAUACCGCGUGGGUGAAGAAGGCCUUCGGGUUGUAAAGCCCUUUUGUUGGGAAAGAAAAGCAGCAGGUUAAUACCCCGCUGUUCUGACGGUACCCAAAGGAUAAGAACCGGCUAACUUGGUG